GCGCCUAUGGUGGAAUUGGUAGACACGUUGGAUUUAGGUUCCAAUGCCGCAUGGUAUAAGGGUUCGAGUCCCUUUAGGCGCACCA
rnacentral:tRNA from 1 species